rnacentral:rRNA from 1 species
ACAGCAGCAGCCGCGGUAAAACGGAGGGUGCAAGCGUUAAUCGGAAUUACUGGGCGUAAAGCGUGCGUAGGCGGUUCGUUAAGUCUGUUGUGAAAGCCCCGGGCUCAACCUGGGAAUGGCAAUGGAUACUGGCGAGCUAGAGUGUGUCAGAGGAUGGUGGAAUUCCGCGUGUAGCAGCGAAAUGCGUAGAUAUGCGGAGGGACACCGAUGGCGAAGGCAAUCCCCUGGGCCUGCACUGACGCUCAUGCACGAAAGCGUGGGGAGCAAACAGGAUUAGAGACCCCCGUAGUCCCUGUCUCUUAUAC